GUACUUGCUUCGGUGGUACAUAUACUAAAAUUGGAACGAUACAGAGAAGAUUAGCAUGGUCC
rnacentral:snRNA from 1 species